AAGAAAUUUAAUAAUUUUGAAAAUGGAUUUUUUUUUUUUGUUUUGGCAAGAGCAUGAGAGCUUUUACUGGGCAAGAAGACAAGAGAUGGAGAGUCCAGCCGGGCCUGCGCUUAAGUGCGCGGUCUUGCUAGGCUUGUAAGUUUCUUUCUUGCUAUUCCAAACGGUGAGAGAUUUCUGUGCUUUUGUUAUAGGACAAUUAAAACCGUUUCAAUACAACACACUGUGGAGUUUUCAUAUCUUUGCAACUUUUUCUUUGGGCAUUCGAGCAAUCGGGGCCCAGAGGUAACAAACACAAACAAUUUUAUCUAUUCAUUAAAUUUUUGUCAAAAACAAGAAUUUUCGUAACUGGAAAUUUUAAAAAUAUUAA
rnacentral:rRNA from 1 species